rnacentral:rRNA from 1 species
AGACAGCAGUAGCCGCGGGAAUACGAAGGGUGCAAGCGUUACUCGGAAUUACUGGGCGUAAAGCGUGCGUAGGUGGUGGUUUAAGUCCGUUGUGAAAGCCCUGGGCUCAACCUGGGAAUUGCAGUGGAUACUGGGUCACUAGAGUGUGGUAGAGGAUAGUGGAAUUUCCGGUGUAGCAGUGAAAUGCGUAGAGAUCGGAAGGAACAUCUGUGGCGAAGGCGACUAUCUGGGCCAACACUGACACUGAGGCACGAAAGCGUGGGGAGCAAACAGGAUUAGAUACCCCAGUAGUCCCUGUCUCUUAUAA